CGUUUGGCAGAGUAGCUGCAAAGGCACUUUGGUGACUCUAGAGAACCUCGGGCCAAUCGCACGUCCCCGUGAUGGCGACUUUGCAUUCGGAUGCCUGCCCUAUCAACUUUUGAUGCCACUUUCUGCUCCUACUAUGGUGACCACGGGUAACGGGGGAAUCAGGGUUCGAUUCCUGAGAGGGAGCCUGAGAAACGGCUACCACAUCCAAGGAAGGCAGCAGGCGCGCAAAUUACCAACUCCUGAUGCGGGAAGGUAGUGACGACAAAUAAAACAGGACUCUUUAGAGUUCACUUGAAAUCCUUUAACUAUGAUAAAUUGGAGGGCAAGUCUGGUGCAGAGCAACUGACCCAAGCG